rnacentral:rRNA from 1 species
UACGUAGGGGGCAAACGUUGUCCGGAUUUACUGGGUGUAAAGGGUGCUCAGGUGGUUUUGUAAGUCAGAGGUGAAAUUUCGGGGCUCAACCCCGGACCUGCCUUUGAUACUGCAAAGCUUGUGUACGGAAGAGGCUGAUGGAAUUUCUGGUGUAGCAGUGAAAUGCGUAGAUAUCAGAAAGAACACCAGUGGCGAAGGCGGUCAGCUGGUCCGGUACAGACACUAAAGCACGAAAGCAUGGGGAGCAAACAGGAUUAGAUACCCUGGUAGUCCAUGCCCUAAACGAUGAAUACUAGACGUUGGGUGUAAAAACUCAGUGUCGCAGCUAACGCAUUAAGUAUUCCACCUGGGGAGUACGAUCGCAAGGUUGAA